GAAAAAAGCUAUGAUAAAAAUUCAUUAAAAUGUAAACCUAAAAUCAUUUAUUCUGUCUAUACUUAAAAGGAAAACUUUACUUGAGCCUUGUUCGUAUCUAAAAGUUUUAAUUACCCCUAUAUUCUUUUCCCUUCUCUAUACGAUGAACAAGAGAAAAAAAAAUCUCCAAACUGAAAUCUAGGUCUUCAGUCUUCUCGACUCCGCCACAGACUCCACCGUGAAGCUCGUCGCCGGCCUCAUUUCGCAUCCAUUAUGUCAACUCCGAGCCUGAGACUGAAGACGCCAAUGGAGACAACACCAAUCGGGACAAAGAUCGAGACUGAGAUUGAGAUGGGGACCGAGUACGUGACCGCGACUGGGAGAAUGAUAGGGGUGAGAUCGAGAUUGCGAUAGGANAGAGAGAGAGAGAGAGAGAGAGAGAGAGAGAGAGAGAGAGAGAGACCGUGAGCGUGAAUGCGUAGGUUCGGAUUGUGUAAAACAAUCAAGAGUUUCAUGUUCUUCUUAUUCGUCCAAGUGCACCCACCAGAUUAGUUCUACUAAGAUUGAAGUAAAGACAAAAGAGGGAGAUGUUCUUGCAGUCAUGAAGCGUAAGGAGAUAAUAAGAAGGUUUGAGAACUAAGUCUUUUUGUGAAUUUUUUGUUUAUCAUUUUCAUGUUUGGAUGUUCUCUAAACAUUUUGAAUCUCAUAUAAGAAAGAAGAAGGCUGUUCACAAGACCAUUACAACCGAUGACAAAAAGGAGAUAAGAGAGCCAGUCAGCCAGAAAUUCUAUGCCACAAGUGUGUGACUGUUUGGAGUUUCCAACAUGAAUAAAGAGUCUGGCGCCUGAGCAGAGGUAACAGAAGAAAUUAUUUUCAAUAAAACCCUCCUGCAGAGAUUGUGGAAUGGCCUGAAUCUGGUGACAAGCCCAUACAUAGGGAAUAUGGAUGGGAAUGCUAACCGGAACAGUUCUUCAGACAUGUGUACUGCUUUUGAUGGGAAGGCGAAAUAGAUAGAGGAGAAGAGACGGAAGAUAUCGCAAGUUUGUCUCAAUCCUUAUAAGUUUUAAUGUUAGCUUUUUUGGAUAAAACUUGGCAGCAUAGUACAAGACUUGUAUGAUAUGUAAGAUUUGUUUAAAUUAAUGUUAUGUAUGUUGAUGAUAUUUAUGAAAUAAUUUUUUUUUA